rnacentral:sRNA from 1 species
CAAAACACAAAAACCCCAAAACUCCCCAGAACCCUAAGUUGCUGGGAUUUAUGUGUGACAUAAAUGUGACAUAAAAUGUGAGUCUAUCUUAGCUACUGACUUACUUUGUCACUGAACACUUCUACUAAAAACAAGGCUCUAAUCUUCAGAUGACAUCAGGAGAUUUAAUGUGUGUGUGGGGAUGGGAGGGUGGGCAGGGACAGAUAACCCAAGGGUCAUGCCAGGGUAAAUGCAGACUUCUCUCCAUAGCUUUUAUCUGAAUGUCUCAAAUGUGCCCAGCUAGUUCAUUUGGUAGAGUAUUAGACUCCUAAAAGGCUCAAAAGGCCCUCCCUGAGAGCAGCAUGGAAUAGCCCCCCUUCUCAAAGUGUUCUUAGUGUUUCCACAGUGAACAUGUGAUGGCCCCACCCCCCCAGCAUUUCUGUUGGAGGCUGGGUCUCACUGUGCAGCCCCGGCUGACCUAGACUCCAUGCAGUGACCAGGGUAGACUGGAGCCAACGGGAUCCUCUGGCUUCUAUUACCUGUGUGCUGGGAUUAAAGGCUUGUUCUUACCAGGCCUGGCUGCUUCACUUAUAAGUUUUUUAUUUAUUUAUUUUUACAUGUAUGUGUGUCCACAGAGGCCAGAAGAGGGCCUUCAUUCCUCAGAAAUGCCAUGGUAAUGAAAGACAAAGGCAGGUGGAGGGAUUCUCUGUAUUAACAGAUUCAUGUUCUUCACCCAGCAUACAGUCGUGUCAGUCUUCCUGUACUGAUACAAUCCUGUAUCAGGAAAAAGAAUUGCUACAAGGACACUGUUAGUCAGGGUUCUUGAGAGUCACUGACCGUAUAUGGAACGUCUUUCCAUAUCGAGGGAACCUAAGACAAUGGACAGACUUAAGUAUAAGCUAUGUGUUAAAUGACUAUUAUAUUGUUAAGCCUUUUAGAAAACUGUGUGUGUGUGUGUGUGUGUGUGUGCGCGCGCGCGCGCGCGCACGCGCGUGUGUGUGCAGGUUCCUGAAGGUCACAGAAGAGUUGGAUCCCUGGAGCUGGCAUUGCUGACAAUUAUGUGCUGUCCAACAUGGAUGCUUGGAAUUGAACUUGAGUCAUCUGCUGGAGCAGUGUGUGUUCUUAACCACUGAGUCAUUUCCCCAGCCCCCAACUCCUUGGUUUUAACAACUUUUAUUUAAAUUAUGAUGGGCUAUUAUGGAACUUCAUACUGAAAUUUUGGGGUAAGUGGUAAUGUCUGCAACUUACUCUCAAAUGAUUCAGAAAAUACAUGUAAAUGCCCCAGAUGAAGUGUGUUAGGUGUUGGUGCACACAUGUAAGUGCCCCAGAUGAAGUGUGUUAGGUGUCGGUGCACACAUGCAUCCCAGCACUUGGGAGGCUUCAGCAGGAGGAUGAGGAGUUCAAGGCCAGGCUUGGUGACAGCAAAUUCAAAACCAGUGUGGGCUACCCAAGAUUCUAACUCAAAAGCAAACCAACCAACCAGCAAGCGGGGUAAAAUCUCAACACUCAAAAUCUUCAUAAAGAAUACAAGUUCUUUGUGAAAUUAUAAUAAAACAGUUGCCUGACCCAUCCUUAAUGAAGGGUCCAGCAGUGAGUGACGAAUCUGAGUUAUGGUACUCCAUAGAAACUUGUCUAUUUGUUUUGGUUUGAGGCAGGAUCUUACUAUGUAGAAUAGGUUGGUUUUGAACUCAUAGAGUACUAGAAUUAAAUGUGUUCUUUACUACACUACUACAUGGAGGCAAAAUGCUUGUGACAUAAUGUUAAAUGAUAAAAGCAGGACACAGAACCCGUUGUAUAAUUUUAACUAUGUAAAAGUUAGUAUGAGAAAACCAAAGGCGGCCAUGGCCUGGGGAGGCAGCUGGAGGCCCACAACCUUUUCUGUCACUGACUCUGUCACUGACCUGUUGACAUAGCAGCUGCAGCGCCUCCUCCCGUCCCAGUGAGAGGACCGGGCUCAGUGCUGUUCCCAAGCAGCGGCCACCCACCGUGAAGCAGCAAGUCCAGGAGCUUCUGUGUGGGGGCAUCUCUGGAGAUUGGGGGGGGGGGGGCAGCUGUAGGUAUUGCUGAGGAAAGGCCCAGCAAUGGCUGGUCUGAGACUCCAACCUUCCCUGGCUAGACUCUGGCUUGUGCUCAUGCACUUGGGGCUCUGGGGACACGCUGUCUUUCAGACACGUGAGUAAAGCUACUUUGAGUUUUGAAAGGCUUAGGCGCUCUGUGACUACCCUGCCUGGAGCAGUAAGUGCCCUGUAAGCAGCCAGUCCUCAUCACGCCUUCCAUAGGGACAGGAACAGCUCUGAAGAUGAGGUGCCUUCCCUCUGUGUGGUGUUAAGGACCCACAUCCUUCACAUGCUAAGCAAGCACAUGCCCAGGUGUCAGUGGACACACCCUCCCUCCAGCCUGAGGACCUGUUUUGGUAGAAAGAAAAAGAGGAUCGGAACAUAUGAUAGGGCAGAGAGCUCCUCAGGCUUAGAGAAGCAGAAGUGGGAGGUCAAGUCAGCCUCCUUUACAGAACAAGCUUUAGAGUCUUGAGUCUGUCUUGAAGCUCCUUCCUGUAGAAGUAGGAACAAGACUCAAACAGACUAAGAUGCUCUGAGCUGAGGCAGGUAGAGGAGAAACUCCAGUUCCACAGGACGACACAGCAGGCACUCAGUGCCCAUGGAGGGAAACUACUACAGACGGCAACUUCUUGGUUAGGAGUACUCUAGACCUUCCCAACUGCUUUCCAGCGAAAGCAAAAAGUGCUACCAUGCUGAGUCCUGUGACCUGAUUUUCAAAUAUUUUAUUACAUAAUCUUUCAUGGCACCAUCAGGAGUAACAGAAAACGUUAUUCCCAGUUCCUAAACCACAUCCUGAAAAAUAUACAUUUGUAUUUAUAUAUUUAUAUCACUGCUCCACCCCUAACCUAUAACUCCACCACCUAUUGUAGGUCUUUUGCUUAAAGCAGGAAACUAUUCUCUUAGGUAAGAAAAUAUAUGUGGAAGCUAAAUGAAAUGUUGGUUAGAGUAACUGGGAACAGUUUGUC